CCAGCUCCAAGAGUGUAUAUUAAAGUUGUUGCAGUUAAAAAGCUCGUAGUUGGAUUUCUGGUAUAAUGCGCCUGGCCCGCGGCGUUUACGCUUGUGAGUGCCGGUGCGCGUUUGCCAUCCUUCUAGAAAACGUUUCUACCCUUUACUGGGCCGGACUCGCAAUCUAGAUCUUUUACUUUGAAAAAAUUAGAGUGUUUAAAGCAGGCUUUUGCUAUGAAUACAUUAGCAUGGAAUAAUAAUCUAGGACUUCGGUUCUAUUUUGUUGGUUUCUAGAAUUGAAAUAAUGAUUGAUAGGGAUAGUUGGGGGUGCUAGUAUUGGCCGGCCAGAGGUGAAAUUCUUGGAUUCGGUCAAGACUAACUUAUGCGAAAGCAUUCACCAAGGAUGUCUUCUUUAAUCAAGAACGAAAGUUGGGGGAUCGAAGACGAUCAGAUACCGUCGUAGUCUCAACCAUAAACUAUGCCAACUAGGGAUGGGUGAACGUUGCUUUUCGACUUCAUCCGCACCUUAUGAGAAAUCAAAGUCUUUGGGUUCCGGGGGGAGUAUGGUCGCAAGGCUGAAACUUAAAGGAAUUGACGGAAGGGCACCACCAGGAGUGGAGCCUGCGGCUUAAUUCGACUCAAC
rnacentral:rRNA from 1 species